rnacentral:rRNA from 1 species
AGAGUUUGAUCAUGGCUCAGGACGAACGCUGGCGGCGUGCCUAACACAUGCAAGUCGAACGCGCUCCAUUCGGUAGCAAUACUGAUGAAGAGCGAGUGGCGAACGGGUGAGUAGCACGUGAGCAACGUGCCCCGAAGACCGGGACAACACCGGGAAACCGGUGCUAAUACCGGAUAUCCCUAUCGGACCGCAUGAUCUGAUAAGGAAAUGGAUUCCGCUUCGGGAGGGGCUCGCGGCCUAUCAGCUAGUUGGUGAGGUAAUGGCUCACCAAGGCAUCGACGGGUAGCUGGUCUGAGAGGACGAUCAGCCACACUGGGACUGAGACACGGCCCAGACUCCUACGGGAGGCAGCAGUGGGGAAUCUUGCGCAAUGGGCGAAAGCCUGACGCAGCAACGCCGCGUGGAGGACGAAGGCUUUCUGAGUUGUAAACUCCUUUCAGCAGGGACGAUAGUGACGGUACCUGCAGAAGAAGCACCGGCCAACUACGUGCCAGCAGCCGCGGUGAUACAUAGGGUGCAAGCGUUGUCCGGAUUUAUUGGGCGUAAAGAGCUCGUAGGCGGUUUGAUAAGUCGGGUGUGAAACCUCCAGGCUCAACCUGGAGCCGCCACUCGAUACUGUCAUGACUAGAAUUCGGUAGGGGACCACGGAAUUCCUGGUGUAGCGGUGAAAUGCGCAGAUAUCAGGAGGAGCACCAGCAGCGAAGGCGGUGGUCUGGGCCGACAUUGAC